UUGUGUGCCUGGUAAGGGGAGACACCACGGUCGUGGAAGGCAUGAUUUCUAGGGUGAAGCCAAUCCUUCGCACUCCAGAUGUGCUGAUCCCUGCAAUUUCCCAGGAAUCUCAGCUGCAUAAUUUGUGGCAGGAGGAGACUGUCUGCACCUUUUCCUG
rnacentral:snRNA from 1 species